rnacentral:rRNA from 1 species
UACAGAGGUCCCAAGCGUUGUUCGGAUUCACUGGGCGUAAAGGGUGCGUAGGUGGCCGGGUAAGUCUGAUGUGAAAUCUCCGAGCUUAACUCGGAAAUGGCAUUGGAUACUAUUCGGCUGGAGGGUUGGAGGGGGGACUGGAAUUCUCGGUGUAGCAGUGAAAUGCGUAGAUAUCGAGAGGAACACCAGUGGCGAAGGCGAGUCCCUGGACAACUCCUGACACUGAGGCACGAAAGCUAGGGGAGCAAACAGG